rnacentral:rRNA from 1 species
GGUUGAAGUAGUGAGAGGUGAGCUUGAAACUUAAGAAUUUUGGCGGUCUUUUUUAUCUUUCUAGAGGAAUUUGCUCUUUAAUCGAUAGUCCGCGUUUAAUUUUACUUGAUUGGGGUUUGUAUACCGCUGUUUAUAAUGUUUUUGUAUAGAAUGUUGGUGAAGAGGUCUCAGUAAAUCAAGUCAAGGUGCAGCUUUUAAUUGAGGUUGAAGUGAAUUACUAGUUGGAUUUUUUAUUGAAAUAUUAAAAUGAGAUAGGAUUUAGAAGUAAUUGAGAAUUAGAAUGUUGGAAUGAAGGUAGUUUGAGAAAGAUG